rnacentral:tRNA from 1 species
GGAGGGGUCGCAUAGUCCGGUUUAGUGCACUCGCCUCGAAAGCGAGCAGGCCCGAUGAGGGUCUCGUGGGUUCGAAUCCCACCCCCUCCGCCA